rnacentral:rRNA from 1 species
GACGAACGCUGGCGGCGUGCUUAACACAUGCAAGUCGAACGGAAAGGCCCUGCUUUUGUGGGGUGCUCGAGUGGCGAACGGGUGAGUAACACGUGAGUAACCUGCCCUUGACUUUGGGAUAACUUCAGGAAACUGGGGCUAAUACCGGAUAGGAGCUCCUGCUGCAUGGUGGGGGUUGGAAAGUUUCGGCGGUGGGGGAUGGACUCGCGGCUUAUCAGCUUGUUGGUGGGGUAGUGGCUUACCAAGGCUUUGACGGGUAGCCGGCCUGAGAGGGUGACCGGCCACAUUGGGACUGAGAUACGGCCCAGACUCCUACGGGAGGCAGCAGUGGGGAAUAUUGCACAAUGGGCGGAAGCCUGAUGCAGAAACGCCGCGUGCGGGAUGACGGCCUUCGGGUUGUAAACCGCUUUCGCCUGUGACGAAGCGUGAGUGACGGUAAUGGGUAAAGAAGCACCGGCUAACUACGUG